rnacentral:piRNA from 1 species
UAAGCACUUGAGGCAGCCAGACCC